AUGAACUGGUUUCACACCACCCAAGUGUGAGUUGGGCUGUAUCACACGAAUAUAUUGCCCUGAUGAAGUCAAACGCCUUUAAUUCUGCUGUUGUCGUCGGUAACUGUAAGCCAUGUAUAAAGCUUUUUUCAAUUAUAGUUUACCAUAAAGGGACCACAUUAAUAAAUUAUGAUCUUUUGCAAGAGGAAAGGGGGGGAUAGACAUUUUUUGGAAACUAGAAAGCUAACAUUAUGAAAAUAGAUAAAAAAAAACAAACACAGGCGCCGGAAAAUUAGAACGAAAAAAAAAAGCAAUUUCGUGUUUUUAAUUUUUGUUUUUGGUAUCUCAAAAAUAACGAAUGGACGC
rnacentral:lncRNA from 1 species